rnacentral:rRNA from 1 species
CCAAUAGCGUAUAUUAAAGUUGUUGCAGUUAAAAAGCUCGUAGUUGAAUUUCGGGGUUAGUAGGUUGGUCAUGCCUCUGGUAUGUACUGGUCUCACUGAUUCCUCCUUCCUGAUGAACCUUAAUGCCAUUAAUUUGGUGUUUUGGGGAAUUUGGACUGUUACUUUGAAAAAAUUAGAGUGUUUAAAGCAAGCUAACGCUUGAAUACAUUAGCAUGGAAUAAUGAAAUAGGACGUUCGAUCCUAUUUUGUUGGUUUCUAGGAUUGACGUAAUGAUUAAUAGGGAUAGUUGGUGGCAUUAGUAUUCAAUUGUCAGAGGUGAAAUUCUUGGAUUUAUUGAAGACUAACUACUGCGAAAGCAUUUGCCAAGGAUGUUUUCAUUAAUCAAGAACGAAAGUUAGGGGAUCGAAGACGAUCAGAUACCGUCGUAGUCUUAACCAUAAACUAUGCCGACUAGGGAUCGGAUGAUGUUAAUUUUUUAAUGACUCAUUCGGCGCCUUACG